ACAAGUCCUCAGGAAGGAUGCCUGGCCCCCUGGCCUGCCUGGGAUCCUCUUGACCCAGCGGCCUUCUACCAGCUGGGGAGAGUACAUCCCUCUCUGGGCCAGUGAACUUGGUGCCAGCCCAGGAGCUCUGUGUGACUGUGCUGGACGCCACAUCCUUUCAUUCCUUAGGUUCUCAAGGCAACCUAUUUCCACUUUUACAGAGGAGAGCAAGAACCAGAGAAGGCAGGCUCUACAGCUAUAAUCGCAGCGCCGAGGAGGUAGAGGCAGGAGGAGCAGAAGCUCCGUCAUCUUUGGCAACAGCAAGUUUGAAGCCCAGCCGGCCUACAGGAAACCUUGUGCUAAGGGGCGGGGCAAGGCGGCUCUGCAGGUAAAGGCACUUGCCAUCAAGCCAAGCUUCCUGAGUUUGAACCCAGGACCCACUGGUGAAAGGUGGGAAGUGAUGCCCGCAAGUUGUCCUGACUCCAUGUGCACAUCGUGGCUUUACUUACCCGGGCACCCUGACCUGUGACAUCGAGAGACGUGGCCCAGAGGUCACGUGAGAAACCGUGGAGGCGAGCAAGCUGUGCACGCUGAAGGAAGAGGGCCAGCUGUUCUGUCACUCAGAAGAGGGCCCCGCCCCAUGCUGUUCAUAUCAGAAGUAAAAAUACCCAAGAUCACAGACUUACAAGCCAGAUUCUGAGGCUCCACCUGCCGGAAUCUGACAGGCGCCAUGAAGCUUCCCAGCUCUGUCUGGCCCAGUCCAUCACCAUGUGGCAAGUGUCCCAGCCAAGGAGGCGACUCAGGAGCAAGUGUUCUGAAUGGUGCUAUAUAAAAACAGGAGAGACAGCGGGGGUGGGGGUGGCGGCGUACGCCUUUAUUCCCAGUACUUGGGAAGCAGAGGCAGGAGGAUUUCUGUGAGUUCGAGGCCAGCCUCAUGAGACCCUGAGUUCGAAUCCCCAGGUCUCGUGUAAAAAGCCGGGUGUGGUUUCACAUGGGUCCCUGAGGUUAGACAGUUGGGCUCCAGGUUCAGUGAGAGACCUUGUCUAAAAAAUAAGGUGGACGAUGAUAGAGGAAGACACUAAAGGGCAACCUCUGUGACCUUCACAUGUGUAUUUACACACCCACGUAAAACAAGAAAAAUCAGGAGGGGAGGAAAUGAAAAACCCAGAACCCUCACUCAUGUCUCUAUGGCCCCCAUACUGUUUACAGCGCUGCCCUGGCUGGU